UACGUAGGGGGCAAGCGUUGUCCGGAAUGAUUGGGCGUAAAGCGUCUGUAGGUGGCUUUUUAAGUCCGCCGUCAAAUCCCAGGGCUCAACCCUGGACAGGCGGUGGAAACUACCAAGCUGGAGUACGGUAGGGGCAGAGGGAAUUUCCGGUGGAGCGGUGAAAUGCGUAGAUAUAUGGAAGAACAUCAAUAACGGCGAAGGCAGUUAACUAUUCUGUUACUGACGUUGAGGCACGAAAGCGUGGGGAGCAAACGGG
rnacentral:rRNA from 1 species